rnacentral:rRNA from 1 species
GAUGAACGCUGGCGGCGUGCCUAAUACAUGCAAGUCGAGCGAACGGACGAGAAGCUUGCUUCUCUGAUGUUAGCGGCGGACGGGUGAGUAACACGUGGAUAACCUACCUAUAAGACUGGGAUAACUUCGGGAAACCGGAGCUAAUACCGGAUAAUAUUUUGAACCGCAUGGUUCAAAAGUGAAAGACGGUCUUGCUGUCACUUAUAGAUGGAUCCGCGCUGCAUUAGCUAGUUGGUAAGGUAACGGCUUACCAAGGCAACGAUGCAUAGCCGACCUGAGAGGGUGAUCGGCCAAACUGGAACUGAGACACGGUCCAGACUCCUACGGGAGGCAGCAGUAGGGAAUCUUCCGCAAUGGGCGAAAGACUGACGGAGCAACGCCGCGUGAGUGAUGAAGGUCUUCGGAUCGUAAAACUCUGUUAUUAGGGAAGAACAUAUGUGUAAGUAACUGUGCACAUCUUGACGGUACCUAAUCAGAAAGCCACGGCUAACUACGUG